rnacentral:siRNA from 1 species
CGCGCUACACUGAUGUAU